AUUGAACGCUGGCGGCAUGCCUUACACAUGCAAGUCGAACGGCAGCACGGGAGCAAUCCUGGUGGCGAGUGGCGAACGGGUGAGUAAUAUAUCGGAACGUGCCCAGUCGUGGGGAUAACGUAGAGAAAUUUACGCUAAUACCGCAUACGAUCUACGGAUGAAAGCGGGGGAUUCGCAAGAACCUCGCGCGAUUGGAGCGGCUGAUAUCAGAUUAGGUUGUUGGUGAGGUAAAAGCUCACCAAGCCGACGAUCUGUAGCUGGUUUGAGAGAACGACCAGCCACACUGGGACUGAGACACGGCCCAGACUCCUACGGGAGGCAGCAGUGGGGAAUUUUGGACAAUGGGCGCAAGCCUGAUCCAGCAAUGCCGCGUGCAGGAUGAAGGCCUUC
rnacentral:rRNA from 1 species